CGGUUAAAAAGCUCGUAGUUGGAUUUCUGUUGAGGGCGACCGGUACGCAUUUCGUGCGUUAUCUGGUUCGGUCUUGGCAUCCUCUUGGGGAACGUUCCCAUGCUUAAUUGCAUGGAGCGGGAUUCAAGACUUUUACUUUGAGGAAAUUAGAGUGUUCACGGCAAGCAAGUGCUUUGAAUACAUUAGCAUGGAAUAAUAAUAUAGGACCUUUGUUCUAUUUUGUUGGUUUCUAGAACUAAGGUAAUGAUUAAUAGGGACAAUUGGGGGCAUUCGUAUUAACGCGUCAGAGGUGGAAUUCUUGGAUUGCGUUACGACGAACUACUGCGAAAGCAUUUGCCAAGGAUGUUUUCAUUGAUCAAGAACGAAAGUAUGGGGAUCGAAGACGAUUAGAUACCGUCGUAGUCUAUACCAUAAACUAUGACAACUAGAGAUUGGAGGUCGUUCUUUUUAUGACUCCUUCAGCAUCUUAUGAGAAAUCAAAGUUUUUGGGUUCCGGGGGGAGUAUGGUCGCAAGGCUGAAACUUAAAGGAAUUGACGGAAGGGCACCACCAGGAGUGGAGCCUGCGGCUUAAUUUGACUCAACACGGGA
rnacentral:rRNA from 1 species